AGGCAACACUUGGAGAGUGUCGAGGCCCCGGAUGUCGGACAGCGACACCUAGCGGGCCGGAGGACUACGCGCCCCACCUGUAAUGACACGUGCUGACCACCAGAGGGAGCCGUCGGACUUGGUUUUCUUGCCGUUUUUUUUUCUUCAGAAAAAUGAUCUCCAGAAAAAGGAGACAAAGAUGAGUAAUUUUUAUCACCCUCUAAAUCUAAUCGUUUUAUACAUUGCCCAAGUAAAAAAGUAUUUUACAACUUUAUCCAUCCACACUAUAUUUCAAAAGAAAUAUUACUUAGUACUUAUUUUGUCCCGCUAUUAAUCCCACAAAAUAGGCAUUGCAGAUAAAUAACAAUUACUAUUAUUAGAAUAAUUAUAAUAGGAGAAUAAUUAUACAAUAUAUCAUUUCAAUUUAAUAAAAAUGGACACAUAACAUUAUACUCUGAGUGAGCAUGAUCCAAAUUGUAUGUAUGUUGUAUUUUUAAAUUCACUUUUCCGGUAGCAUUUUCAUCAUGUGAUACCUUUUACUUCUCAUCCACUAAAUUGAAGUCCCAGGAAUACUGACGAAUAAUUUAUGAAGAUGUAGUCUUGCAUUAAGCAUUAAACAAUUAAAACUGCUAAAACUGUUAUAUCUUGACUAACUUGAAUCUAAAAGUGCAAACACUGCUAUACUACAUAAUAGGUGCUUGGUCUUUGAGUAUGUUUGAGUACAUUUUGCUUGUAAUACUUACAAUAAUGCAAAUUAAUAUUGAGCAUAUAUUAUUGACAUGUUGAGAAAUGGUCCCUCUCUUUCUCUCUCUCUCUCUCUCUCUCUCUCUCUCUCUCUCUCUGAGAAGAUAUGAAAAAUUGAGCAAACACUUUUGUAAUCCUGAGCCAAUAUUGAACUAUGGUCAUCAUUGCCUCAGCAUGUUUGUAUUGAUCCCUUUUCAUUAGAUAACGGGGCACACAGUUCUUGCUCACUGGACUGAUCGGCUGAUGUAGUUUUGUAGAUAUCAAACUGGAAUUGAACUUGUUUGAGAUAAUCUUUAAUCACUCAGAUCAUAUCCCCGUUUUUAACCUUUUUAACGUCCCAAAAGACAGAAUCAAAAGCAUCUCCCGAAAUGUCAGUAAAACCUGACACAUCUUGUAUGUUUUCUCUUGAUCCAGGCUUUACCAGCGGGUUUCCACGGCAGUGACUGGUCGGGGGACUCCCUGGUGGGUUCCCAUGCUCUGUGUUUCCUGUGCAGAUCAGUGAGCUGAGCUGAGCUGAUCCCCCGAUGCUCCCCUCUCCCCAUUCUUUGCAGAUAGAACCGGGAGAUUGACCACCCCGGUGAGAGCCCCGAAAAGCCUCUAGCAUCUCAAUCCUGCUGGAUAGCAACAAACACGUAACACGGCCGCCUUCUCCCCAACAGAUGGCCUGCUGUCAAAACAAAGGUUCUCUUGAGGAGACACUGUUACAACGAAACAGCGUCUGAUGUUUCUUGAGAUUAACUGGCAAACUGCCGCGAUAUUCACACAGCAAAUUGGACGUGGCGGGCCGGCCCAGGAGACGGAAGUUCAGACCCCCGCGGUCGGAGGUCGUGUCACUCUCUGGGAAAUUAUGUGUCAUGAUCAACAUUGUGAGCUGUUUCACACGCCAUUAUAAUGUGUGCGUCUGUGUGUGUGUGUGUGUGUGUGUGUGUGUGUGUGUGUGUGUGUGUGUGUGUGUGUGUCUCAUUCAGUUCACCUCCCUUCCGUUUUUCCCAUUGGUGUGGUUGUUCAUUCGAGGUAAUACAAUUGACAGAGAGAAUACGGAUGAUAAAGUGCUGUUUUUGUGUGUCUGUAACUCAGGUUUAGGCUUCAACUGUGGCCCCUGGCUCUUUAUGUGAGUCACAUGGUCUACUUAUAGUACUCCAUUACCAACGACCCCCUGAUUUAAGACAAGCAGAGAAGUACAGUGCAGCGCUGUGAAGGCUUAGAGGCAAUUUUGCAAAAUACGCAUUCAUUUUCUCUGCAUCGUUAAAGCUAAUAUUAAGAUGUUACGGUCACUUUUAACCGUGGUGUUAUCCUCAUAUACAGCCAGCUAGAGCAAUUUCCUCCCGUUCCUCUCCGCUGCCGAUGCAUGACAGAUCUUGUCUGAUUAUGUGAACAUUCCCACAGUUGUGUCAAAACUGCUGAUCGGAAGAAACGGCUAAACGAGUCUUUCCCACACAUUAUUGGAUGUAUACUUUUAUCUGGCUGAUAUAGUGGGCCAGUGCAUGACGGCGCGACUCACAUGCUUAAACAACAAAAACGUCCAAAUAAGAAUCCAUUCAUUCAUUUACAACUUAGCGUUACAUUUAAAGUUCCUGUGCAUGAACACCCCCUAUGGCCGCACAUCGCAGGAGUUGCACGGAGCCGCUUGGUAUGUCGGUAUGCUGGUUCCUUUGUUGGGGAGAGGGUCUGCAUGCCAGGCGGAGCAAUCCAGCCCGCCACAGGGGUCGUCGGAGGGGGGGAGGAGUUUUGAUUAUGAUCAUUAUUUGGUAAAUAAGAUGUCAACAAGGUGUUUCCUUGACACUUUAUUGAGUAAAAGGAGGAAGGUGCAGAAAUGAAACCCCCCCCCCCACCCCUCUCAACGGGACCUCUAAUCUCCUCUUUCAUGUCCCAUCUCGUCUGAAGGGGCUUCGGCCUCGGCUGCCAUGUGCUAGUUUGCCCGGGCCCGGCGCUUCUUACUUGCAGGUGGGAGUUUCCUGACCCCGAUGUGAAAGGAAGGUCGUGUUUACUGCAGAGCAUCAGGUAUCGCCGCCUCAAAGAGUAAAGAAGGAAGAACG